rnacentral:rRNA from 1 species
GUUGAACGCUGGCGGAAUGCUUUACACAUGCAAGUCGAACGAUGAAGCCUAGCUUGCUAGGUCGAUUAGUGGCGAACGGGUGAGUAAUAUAUCGGAACGUAUCCAAUAAUGGGGGAUAACUAGUCGAAAGAUUGGCUAAUACCGCAUACGUCCUACGGGAGAAAGCUGGGGAUCGUAAGACCUGGCGUUAAUGGAGCGGCCGAUAUCUGAUUAGCUAGUUGGUGAGGUAAAGGCUCACCAAGGCGACGAUCAGUAGCUGGUCUGAGAGGACGACCAGCCACACUGGAACUGAGACACGGUCCAGACUCCUACGGGAGGCAGCAGUGGGGAAUUUUGGACAAUGGGCGAAAGCCUGAUCCAGCCAUUCCGCGUGAGUGAAGAAGGCCUUCGGGUUGUAAAGCUCUUUCGCAAGGGAAGAACACUUACUUAAUAACACUAAGUGAGGUUGACGGUACCUUGAUAAGAAGCACCGGCUAACUACUUGCCAGCCGCCGCUGUAACAC